GAAACCGCGAGGUGGAGCAAAACUAUAAAAGCGAUCUCAGUUCGGACUGCAGGCUGCAACUCGCCUGCACGAAGUUGGAAUUGCUAGUAAUCGUGGAUCAGCAUGCCACGGUGAAUACGUUCCCGGGUCUUGUACACACCGCCCGUCACACCAUGGGAGUCGGAAAUGCCCGAAGUCUGUGACCCAACCUUAGGGAGGGAGCAGCCGAAGGCAGGUCGGAUGACUGGGGUGAAGUCGUAACAAGGUAAC
rnacentral:rRNA from 1 species